rnacentral:misc_RNA from 1 species
AUUAUAUAUAUCAACCAUCAACCCUCUGAGAAUUCCAUUAUAAUCAACAAUCAAAAUAUCUAUUAUAUAAUGAUCGGACUAAAUAUACUCUCCUUAAAGUUGAAAAUAAAUUGUACGGAAUAUUCUGACAACAAAUUUUAUUAAAUUAAAGUCCCAUUAGUUACCACUCUAAACUCUACCGGCUCUCUUUCAAAGGUUUCCCAUUCUUUUUAGUUUUGGGCUUACAUUCCAAGUUGCUGUAUGGUGAGGCAAUUUGAUACUAGCCUUUUCCUUCUUGAAGAUCGCAACUUCGGAACUACAUAUAUAUGAAAUGUGCAUCCAGACAUGUGUAUUUCUUCGUCUUACCAUGUUAUGCUGCAGCAAAGCUAGUACCUCACACCUCAGAUUACCCCCAGUUAUCUUCCCCACCUGUGUAAAGACUUGAGGAUGCUGAACAACGUUCACCCGUCUGAGAUAGAUUUACCAGCCAAUAUACUAUUAAGGCUGCAAUUUUGAGGAGCAAUUCAUCUCUCAGGCUAUAUUAUAUUAGACUUCCUCCAUCUGUGUUUCCUCAUUUGUGCUUUCAGAUGGCACACCAUUUUCAUCAUUUGGACUAAUUUUUGCAUCUCUCUCCCCAUUUCGUUGGCUCUGAAGAGGCAAAUCUCCAUUUUGACCACUUUCAAUGCCAUCCAUCUCUUGAGCUUCCUCUGACUUACUUUCAUGCAGCGUAUCAUCCACGGCACCAUUUGCAGGUGCAGACAUAUUGGAUGAAUGGUAUUGCUCAAACUGAUAGUUCAUCAGCCUUGCCUGAUAUAAUUGAUUCAUUUUAUCAAUUACGAUGUGGCCCAUUUCCUCAACACCACUGACAAGAUAGGGCUGUCCAAUAUCUUCAACAGGACGUUCUAUAUACGAUGAAAUCUCAUUCAAAUUCAGUGCAAGGUGGUCAGGUCUCUGAAGCAAAAGUUGAAAUGUAGGUUGCAAUUCAUAGCAUUGUUCAAAUAGAGAUCGUCGGCAGAACACAUAAAGUCCAAGUCGGGCACGAGACAUGGCAACAACCAAUCUUCUAACAUCACGAAGGUGACCCACAAAGCGAGUACGUACAAGAGAAAGCAAAAUAAAAUCAUUCUGCUGCCCUUGAAACUUAUCAACUGUUGUAACCUUACUAGGUGGACCAAUGAAGUCAUAUGGAACACAUCGUCUAUUAAUAACAUCACGAAUAAGAAGCUUCUGGCCAUUGUAAGUGGUCAAGAUGGAAAUCUUGUUUGCAGGAUAUCCUAAUAAACGCAUGUAGAUGUAGACACUGACAACAUAUUCAGCCUCUCCCUCAUUCUGGUAGAACCAAGGAGAAGGGGCAGUCUCACCUCUGCCAUGGUAAUCAGGUACAUCCACCAACUGAUAUUCAUAAGAGAAUCCAGCAUUAGCUUUAUGGAAGAUGGCCCCCUCCUUCACAUAAGGAAGGUCUCCCAAAUCUCGGUACCUCCAAUUAUAAAGCUUGGCUAUGCUUGGCCUGGCUCUACCCUGGGCAUUGAGCUCAAUGUAAGGAAUACCCAGACGAACAAACCUGGUAAAUAAGCUCUGAUCCAUAUGGCUGUAUUUCUGAAAGGCCAUAUUCUUCACAACUGGGGGUAACUGAUGAUGAUCUCCAAUCAGUAUGCAGCGUUUCAGCCGUGCAUAACCAUCUUCCUGCCUCUGCAGCAACAUUGGGAUAAAAGUUUCAAUCUCCAAAAUUUGAGCACUUUCUUCCAUCAACAAGUUGUCAUACUUGAAGCCUAACUGAAGAAAGUCCUUCCUUUUCAGUGCUGCAUGAGUGCAGGUCAUUGCCACUAUCUUGGCUUGCUUGGUCAUAAGAUAAUUUGCUCGAUCAGCUGUUAAUUUAAGCAAUUCAAAUGCUCUACACUCUUCUAGUUCUUGGAACAUAGUCUUGAGAUGACGAAAACACCCCAUAGCUGCCCGCAUGUCUUUCUCAAAUGACUGACCUGUGAGAACUGGCUGAGGCGUGUUGGAAAAGAAUUCCUUAAAGGGGAAGCGGUCCUGAACAAAUGUUGGUUUAUCUUUGUUAUCCUCACAAGCAGCAAGGAACUGUUCCCAACGGGAGUAUACAUGAAGCAACCAAAAGUAUCCAGCAGUUUCACAAGUAUAACCAACAUCCUCAGGAAGUUGGAGAGAUCUUGCAAGCCUCUCCACUUCAUUAAGUAGUUCUAACCGUCGAACGAGCAUUGCAUUAACACGACCUUGCCUGCUGAAAUCCAGAUCGGUUGCUAGUUCUUGUUCACCUUGACCCAGUCGAAGAAGAUAGCGUGCAGGUACAUCUCUCUGCAUUAUCUUCUCAAAAAGGUCAUUUAGAGCCUGAUUUGAAUGGGUGAUUAUUAAUGUUCUUUGAGAAGGGCAAUUGUGAUAAAGAACAUUCAAAAUUUGCACAGCUGUAUCAGUCUUUCCUGUACCAGGUGGUCCAACCACCAUAGUUAAUCCUGGCUGGAUACCAGAUAGGAUUGCUCCAAUCUGUGUAGGUGUAAAUCUGACUGAAUUCUGUUUUGGCUGAUCUUGGGGAUACGGCCCUGGGUCCGGAGGAAUGUAUGCCUCAACAAUAAGUUUUUCUUUCUCACCACCAGCAUCCUCCAUAUCGACAUCAUUCAUUGAAUCAAUAGUUAAUUUCUUAUUUCCUGGGAGUGCAUGAGUGUUGCCUUUCAGUGUUCUAGGAAGCCUAAUUCGGAAGGGAGGUCUUAGAUUCAAGUUUUCUGUACUGUCUGCAUUUACAAAACAAACCUGAUAAUCUGGAAAACUCUCCUUUAAAUGGUCUGCAUCAAGGAAAGUAUCCUUGAAAUCUACUGUUUCGAGAAGAUCAGGCAUAUUGGUCCACUGUGCUGCAGAAGGAUUCCCAUAGCCCAGAAAUAUGUUGUGCAACCAGUCAGGAACAAUGCAGUAUUCAUUCAUGAGAUCUCUUAUGGAUUCUAAAAUUGCUUUGAAGUUGUUUUCCUUAGGUUUCCUCCUCAUCAGUACAUUAAAUGUCCUAUAAACAUCUUCUGCACCGUUCUCUGCUAUAUCAGUGACAUCCAUGUGGUACUGUGCCGUAUCUAAAGCAACAGUCACAGUUCUGAGUUCACCUUUUGGUGGUUUCCACUCAUCCCGUUUAAUUCUUCCAGUGAAAUCAUUCAUGAGUGUUCCCUCCUCAUCACGAAUCUCAAUAAUUUCACAUCCCCGCACAUACUGGAGACCAAGUCUCUGUGGCACAGUAGCCUUCCCAGCUUCCUCAGCACCAAGAGGUUCAAAUGAAGGGCGGAUCGAAAGCAAAAAUAGAACAUCAUGCUCCUUCAGGGCAUUCCACUCUGAUCUUAUUUGUGCUUUAUAACUGGAAAUGCUAAAAGUAACUUCUGCUGUAACAGAUGAUGGUUUGACUUCACCAAUAUUCGGCUGUUUGACCUCAGUAAUCUUAAAUUCUUUUAUAGGCACAGCCAUUCUUGACCAACCACGAAAUGCAGUUUCUGCUUCAUUAUUAAUGUAGGCAAGGAGGUGCGGAACAGCUUCCUGAAUGUCCUCACGGAUCUCAUAUGUUGACUCAAGCCGGAAGAGAUUGAAAUUCCUUAGAAGAUAAUCAUGGAGUGUUAAGAAUUGCAAAUUAAGUUUUGGAAGUGCCAGGCAGCCUUCUCCAGAGUAAUUAAUGCUUGGUACGACACUUUCAUCCCACAUGAUCUGCUCAUUUGGGUAAAGUGGAAGAGCAUUUAUAGCUUCCUUCUGAGACUGCUGUUUCUCAAAGAAGGAGACCAUGACUUCAAUAAGAAAAUCAACUCUUUUAGACCAUGGGUCAUUAUCGGAAACCAAUUUGAGCUUACAACAAACCAAGUCCUUUAACUCUUCUGGAGAGAGCACAGACAAUUUCUUGGAGAGAUCAGCUCGCUUGUGAAUUGCGCCAAUAUUAGACAAUGAAAGUUCUCGCAACUAUAAGCAGUACAGGAGGAGGAGGGUGUUAAGGGAAGAGAUUCAAACUUUUACAUAGAAGAAAAGAUAAAAACUGCUCAAAUCUUGCAAAAUUACAAAAUGCUGUAUUCUUCUGCAUAAGAAAGUAUUUAAAAGGACCUUAGGAAUCUUCUUAAAGACAAGAAGCUGAAAAGCUUGGAAACGAUCAUAAUGAGAUUGAAGCACCUCAUCGUCUGUCAAUUGUGUUCCAACAUGAUCAUUGAUCUCAAACCUCUCAUAGAAUUGCAGUAAGUCGACUAGCUGUGCAAAUAGCUUCCCCUUGUCAUGUCUGUAAAGAGCACUUAAAUGACAUUUUGCAACAACAGCUACAUCAGCCACAAGGGGCCUCAGGUACCUCCUUGUUGGCAGUUGGCAGUUGGCUCAACAGAUCAAUAAGAAAUUCCAUGAACCUCUCACAAUACAAAACUGCAGCAUCAUCAACUUCAUCGAAACCACUAUCAAGUCCAUCUUCACUAACAGAACUUUUCUGGGGGAAUACUUGGAAAUCAAGCACAUCAAGAAACUCUUCAAUAAGAUUUCUCAAGAACUUCACUUCAAGAGAAGUUGAAAGGUCAAAGAGCUCUCCUCGUUUCAUUGCUUCCUUAGCCUCCCUCUUGAUCAUCCUUUUCCAUUUCUUUAUCAGAUCUGUAUUAACACAAAGCUCCAUCUGAAAUUGACCAUAUGAUAAACUGUACCAUGACUGUAAACUUCCUAAUUUCAGGACUGUCUCGCUGACAAUUUCAUCUUCCAAACUCUGAAAAGCAUUAAUCAUAAAAACUAGGUAAUUGGUCUUCUCUGCUAUACUCAACUCUCUCCCCUCCUUCAGUCGAAGAACCCUCUCCAGAAAUCCCUUGAAGACAUCUUUUCGAUCAUAAAAACAUAACCAAGCUGCCACAUUCUCUCGAAACUUCUCAUUUAUCAUGAGAAUCAUGGACAUAACAUGUUCAAAUGUAGCAGUUUCCGGAUCAAAAUUCGGCCACAGAUAGUUCUCUAAAUACUGGCUAACCUCCAAAAUCAUCACUCUCUGCAACGGCACGGGCUUCGUUCCACCCUUCACCUUCAACUCCGUCUCGUAUAUUUGCUUUACCAGUUCAGGAUCGAAUUCGUUCUUCUCCUUUGACUCAGUACCAGUCUUCAGCCAAUGCGCAGCGGCAAUCUUGGUUAACCGGUCGCGUUGAAUCUCCGAGAGCGUGAUCGAGUUCAGUUGGGUGGAACCCAAUUUGGACUCCACAGGUUUAUCGCCGAGUUGAGUUUGAACCUCAACGGGAUACUCAGCUACAUGGUGGCGCUUGAAAUCGUAAGCGCCGGUGCCGUACACCUUGGUCAUUGCGAUAGCUGCAAUUGAAAAUUAUAUGUGAGAUUUAGGAGUUAGAUAAUAAGCAAAGUUAGGGGAUUUGGUUUUUAGGAGAUUGACAUUAGGUUUAGGGUUUUUCAGAUUUGGGAUUUUUGGAUAAAUGAGUGUGUGGGAGAACUGUUAAACCCAGACGAUAAAGGGAGUGGCGGUUAAAGCCUGAAAAAUGAAAUGGA